AUUUUCUUCUUCAACAUGAGUAACUAAUUUUUCACAUUUUGGUUUAUUUUUUUUUCCAUAAUUAAUUUAGUUUGGUUAAUUGUUCGUCCAUUUUUUUCAUUUGAUUGUUUUAACGUUAAUUGCAGUUUAAUUCAUAGUAAUUGGUGUUGCUUUUUGGUUAAUAUGUUGCAUCGUAAACAGAAAAGUCUACUUUGGACAAAUCCGAGAGGGAAUAUUAAUUAUAUCUUCAAAUAUUUGGCUAUUUCAUCAUUCUCAUCUUUCUUGACAUUUAUGGGUUUACAUAAAAGUCAAUCUUUUCGAUACUAUUUUCAUGAAAAUUUCACAACUGUACUUGAUGUUUAUUAUCAAUUUAUCAAAACAGUGAGUGACAAAGAAGAGAAAAUCAAAAAAGCAGAUUACGAUGCAUGGGGAGUCAAACAACAUCGAAGAUGAUUUUGGUUGUGAUUUGAUGAUGAUUGGGAUAUACCAAGAGGAGGUUUAAAAUAGAGGACGAAGUCAAGAGAGUUUGUGUCGAUUGUAUAUUAAAUCAUUUUGUGGUUUCUUUUUCCAUCUUCAAUAUUUGUUAAAUAUAAA